GAAGGGACGCACAAGCAGUCUGUGUCAGAUUAUGACCAAAAAUGUGAGAAGACAUCAAAAAGGAUUGACUGCAAGGCAAAAAUUAGAGUCAAAAAGAGGAAGGAUGGCAAUUUUGUGAUAGAAAUGGUUGAACUCAACCACAAUCACAAGAUGCUGGAAAGCCCCGGGAUGCUUUUGCACAUGCGAUCGCACAAAAGAGACGAUCCUUUGAUUGACCAGUUGGUGAAAGACAUGCAGUUGGACAACCACACACACGCUCAGAUGAUGUCAACGGUGUCGCGUAUGUCCGGUGGUCUGCAGCUGCAGUACAUGGGGCAUACUAGCCGCGACUGGGUAAACAAGAAAUGGAUGUUUGCCAGAGAAGAGUUCCAAGAUGACGUCAAGAAACUUCUGGAUUUCUUUGAGAAGAUACAGAAGAUAAACCCAGAGUUCUUCUAUGAUUAUGACGCCAAUGCAAGUUGCAAAGGAUCCUAUGAAGAUUUUGGAGACUGCGUUACAUUUGACACGACAUAUAAAACUAACAAAUUCCACAUGCCGCUGGGAGUCUUCGUGGGAGUGAACCAUCAUCUACAGAGCACCAUAUUUGCUGUCACCCUCAUGCGAUAUGAAACAAUAUCGUGGUUGGAGUGGGUUUUCAAAACAUUCCUGAGGUGUAUGAACACCAAGCCACCAAUCUGCAUGCUAAAAAACCAAUGUUCUUUGAUGAAGGCAACAUUAAAAACUAUCCUCCCAGAUACAUUACAUAAGUUGUGUCGGUGGCAUAUCAUGAAGAAGUACAAAGACCACCUCGCCUUGCUGUAUAAGGUGCCCGAGAAACUCAAGGAUGACCUCAAUGCGGUGCUGAACCACCCACUAAUGCCGUCAGAAUUUGAACGGGCAUGGAAGGACCUGAUGCAGAAAUACAAAUUGCAAAAUGAUGAAGUGAUGAAUUCGCUGUGGGAUGACAGGCACGAGUGGAUCUCGGCUUACUACAAGGAAAUUUUCUGUGCUCGGAUGACUUCCACGCAGAGAAGCGAGAGCAUGAACCGCAUAUGGAAGAAAAACUUCGUCAAAGAGAAGCAUGGUCUCCAUCUAUUUGCUCAGCAGGUGGACAAGUGCAUUCAGACCAGGAAGGCCGUUGAGCACACAUAUAUAGUAGCAAAUGAGGUAAACAAAAUGUCCAUCAAAAACUGCUAA
rnacentral:rRNA from 1 species